UGGGGAAUAUUGCACAAUGGAGGGAACUCUGAUGCAGCAACGCCGCGUGCGGGAUGACGGCCUUCGGGUUGUAAACCGCUUUCAGCCAUGACGAAGCUUUUGUGACGGUAGUGGUAGAAGAAGCACCGGCUAACUACGUGCCAGCAGCCGCGGUGAUACGUAGGGUGCGAGCGUUGUCCGGAAUUAUUGGGCGUAAAGAGCUUGUAGGCGGUUUGUCGUGUCGAUAGUGUAAACACGCAGCUUAACUGUGUGCCUGCUGUCGAUACGGGCUGACUAGAGGAGGGUAGGGGAGAAUGGAAUUCCCGGUGGAGCGGUGGAAUGCGCAGAUAUCGGGAGGAACACCAGUGGCGAAGGCGGUUCUCUGGACCUUUCCUGACGCUGAGAAGCGAAAGCGUGGGUAGCAAACAGG
rnacentral:rRNA from 1 species